UUUAGGCUUCUUUCUCGUGUUUCUUCUCUCUCGUCUCUUUCUUUUCUCUCUCUGAAAAUCUAAUUCUCAACUCCUUCUUUUUGCAGAUUCAAGGAUAACAAUGGAGUCCCACUUAUCGUAGUUAUCUUAGUUUAAUUCAGCAUUCCAGUUUUUUGUACUCAAUAUCCAUUAUACCAUUUUUGAAUUGAAAUCAGAAAAUUGCCCAAAAAAUGCAUUGUUUCAUUUAUGUCAACUUCUUUGUUAAUCAAUUUGAGGUUAGGUCUUGACAAUUGGUAUCAGAGGAACGAACCUAUCUCGACUUUGGAUAAUAAUUCAAAAAAGAUAUUUGCUGAAUCAACUUUGGCUGAAUUGAUUCAACGAAACAGUGCAAACAAACGGGCCCUUAUGAAUAGAAUGUCGGGAAUACUUAUGAGUGUUAAGCAAUUGCAGAGGUGGCAUGAAGAUUGUAUAUGCAGUGUUGAUUGCCAAUGCAACUCUUGCAUCUAUGAAUGUGCACGCAGCGUUGACUGCCAACUGCUUUUGUCUUGAUGUCUGUUCGAGGGAAAUGAAUGAAGGGAACAACCAAGCUCAGCAUUAAUCGAAAGUGAAUGUGCUAAAGUUUCUGAACCAAGGGAUAAAUCUAGCGAGGUUGUAUGUCUCGCUGAAAUUGGCAAUGACUAAAUCGAUGAUAUCACAGUUGAGGCAUGGAAAAUACCACCAAAAUUGUUUCUAUUGAAGCUAUGCUAGAGCAGUCAGACAAUGCAAAGAAGGAGCAAAAUGUGGACGUGGGGACAUCGUCAAGAUCCAUGAUAGCUUUACAAAUUCAAAAGAUGGCAGAGAUAAAGGUUAUCAUGUCUCCUAUGAACAUUGAAAUAACUGGUGGUGGCAUGCUCUUGAUUGUAAUUUUCAGAAGAAUGGAAAUUGAAAUUCUUGAACUUACUGUUGCAAUAUUAUUAAGUUUUGAUUUUGGAGGUACUACAUUAAGUCAUCCAAAAUUAGCUUUGUUUUACAUUGUUAUGGAUUUCAUGAUAUAGGAAUUCUGGAUGAAAAAAUGUUUUGUUUGGGUAGGGAGUUCAAGCAGAAAAUGCAGCUUGUCCCAAAAAAUUCAACAACUGCAUUGCUCCUAGUGAAACAGUAAAUAUUAGUGAUGUAGGAAGCUUAACUGGUAGAUUCUUAUUAUCUAGUGUAGUUGUUGCAAGGGGAACCUUUACUAUUGAAGGUUGUGAACUUCUGAAAUGUGCAA